rnacentral:rRNA from 1 species
GAGGGACUGGCGGCAGGUCGCACGCAGGCCCGACACGCGGUGGCCGAGCAGCGGCAGAUUGCUGGGGAGAUGAGCCAGGCCGAGCAACGCAAGGAAUCUGCCCGACAGAGGGGGAUAGCCUGGGGAAGCCCAGGCCAAGACCCCAGACGGCCAACGGGAGACGGGGGGCUCCCGCACCCCCUACGGGACGAGCCCACGACGGAUAUAAAUAGGGGGGGAGGUAUGGGCGCCCAACGCCGCAGAACCCGGCGCAAGGCCCACAGGACGAGGCGGGCGCAGCCCCGACAGAUACACGCGCCCGAGCAUCCAACGAGGAGGCACACACGCGGCGGAGUAGAGGCACAACUGGCGGGCAAGCCCCGCAUCCACACCAGAGCCGCGCAGCAGUGGACGACGGCCCGUCGCGGACGGAACGCGCCGGAGCAGCGCGGGAGCAACGCCCAGCCGGCGGCCGACACCGCCGGGGAACGACCACCCGGCAGCGAAGAACCAGGCGACAGACCCCGUGCCCGCAGCGCCCAGAAAAAACGCGAGGGA